AUUGAACGCUGGCGGCAUGCCUUACACAUGCAAGUCGAACGGCAGCACGGACUUCGGUCUGGUGGCGAGUGGCGAACGGGUGAGUAAUGUAUCGGAACGUACCUUUCAGUGGGGGAUAACGUAGCGAAAGUUACGCUAAUACCGCAUAUUCUGUGAGCAGGAAAGCAGGGGAUCGCAAGACCUUGCGCUGAUUGAGCGGCCGAUAUCAGAUUAGCUAGUUGGUGGGGUAAAGGCCUACCAAGGCUACGAUCUGUAGCGGGUCUGAGAGGAUGAUCCGCCACACUGGAACUGAGACACGGUCCAGACUCCUACGGGAGGCAGCAGUGGGGAAUUUUGGACAAUGGGGGCAACCCUGAUCCAGCCAUGCCGCGUGAGCGAUGAAGGCCUCGGUCGUAAGACUCUGUCUCAGAAGAUAAUGACGGUACGUUGUAGGAGGAAGACCCGGCCGUAACUAACGUGCCAGCAGCCGCGGUAAGAGUACUCUA
rnacentral:rRNA from 1 species